GAGGAUAUGGCUCAGGGGUAGAGCACAUGCUUAGCAUGCACAAGGUCCUGGGUUCAAUCCCCAGUACCUCCA
rnacentral:tRNA from 1 species